rnacentral:rRNA from 1 species
CUGCGGUUCUAUUUUGUUGGUUUCUAGGACCGAAGUAAUGAUUAAUAGGGACAGUUGGGGCCGUUUAUAUUCCGUUGUCAGAGGUGAAAUUCUUGGAUUUACGGAAGAUAAACUUCUGCGAAAGCAUUCGGCAAGGAUGUUUUCAUUGAUCAAGAACGAAAGUUAGGGGAUCGAAGACGAUCAGAUACCGUCGUAGUCUUAACCAUAAACUAUGCCGACUAGGGAUCAGCAGACGUUGUUUUACGACUCUGUUGGCACCUUGUGAGAAAUCAAAGUUUUUGGGUUCCGGGGGAAGUAUGGUCGCAAGGCUGAAACUUAAAGGAAUUGACGGAAGGGCACCACCAGGAGUGGAGCCUGCGGCUUAAUUUGACUCAACACGGGGAAACUCAC